rnacentral:lncRNA from 1 species
UAGUUUUUAUAUAAAGAUCUACAGCUGUAAUUUGGAGAAGCUUAAAGAGUUGGCAUCACCUUGAAGAACUCUUUUAGGGUAGCCCUUGUGGUGCUUGAGUAGAGGCCGCUCCUUUCAGCCUGUCCACCAUAUCACCUCUGACUCUCUUCAUAUUGAGGGCUUGCCAUUUGCCCCUGUUGUCAACUCUUCGUAGUUGUUUUUUUUAUAGUAGAAAAUAAGAUAAGUUUCUCCUACACAAUGAUAAAAUGAGGUAAUAACAGUCCCUCACCUGUUUCUUAGAGGAGGUAAGCUGGUUUAACAUGCAAACGGGGACUGUGUUGGAAGAGUAGUUAGCUCCUUUUUCUGAACUUGAGCCUCCCUCUCCCUCCCCCUCCCCUGUAUGCAUUUAAAAUGGCUCUGCCUAAAGUUUAAUCAGAACUGUAGUUAUUUCCCAGCAGCUGCAUACAACCUCAACUUGUUGUGUAUGAAUUCCCCCUGACCACCAGAGGUUCUUCCUGUUCCACUGAAUAAACAAGAGAGCCUUGUCUGGCUUGGCUUCCACAUGUCAUUGCUAAAUGAUCGAGAGAAAGGGCGACAGUUCAUACUUAUGUCUCAUUAUAAUUUUCCAUUGUAUGUAGUUUUUGCUAAGUUGUACUCAUUACAUCAUUUGGGUCUCCAACUAAUGUCUUGCAUGGUUGUUUUGAUGGUUUAGUAAAUCUGAAGAGUCAGCAGUGUUUCUCGUGGACAAUUUUACUGCUUGUUUGGUAGCCGUAUGACAACAUGUGUAACAUUGGGAUGUCUCUUUUUUUUUUAAAUCUUAUUUUUCUCAUUCCUUUUUUACUUACACAGACUCUAGUGCUGGCAGAAAAUAGUCCUGGAAGGGAUAGUACUGAAUAUUUUAUUAUCUUUGAGCCUCGGCUGUCAACUUUAUCAUCAACAUUAGAAUCCUAUAGCCUGCCAUUUAUGUUUUACAAUGAUGUUAAAAAGCAGCAACAAAUGGCAGCGCUUACGAAGGAAAAGGAUGAGCUAUCUAAGUCCAUCACUAUGUACAGAAGUCUCUUUGAUGCCAACAAGCAGCUUCUGGAUGAAAUGAAAUGUAAGUCACCUUGUACUCAAAGGUAAUGCAGCGGCAGGCUGUGAGGAGCAGUGAGACAAAGGUGGAGACCACCUGACUGCUUUCUUGAAAUAGAAGUGAAGUGGGGUUGGGGAUUUAGCUCAGUGGUAGGGUGCUUGCCUAGCAAGCGCAAGGCCCUGGGUUCAGUCCUCAGCUCCGGAAAAAAAAAA